GGUUAAGCGACUAAGCGUACACGGUGGAUGCCCUGGCAGUCAGAGGCGAUGAAGGACGUGCUAAUCUGCGAAAAGCGCCGGCGAGGUGAUAUGAACCCUUGACCCGGCGAUGUCCGAAUGGGGAAACCCAGUGCAAUCCGUUGCACUAUCGUUAACUGAAUACAUAGGUUAACGAGGCGAACCGGGGGAACUGAAACAUCUAAGUACCCCGAGGAAAAGAAAUCAACCGAGAUUCCCCCAGUAGCGGCGAGCGAACGGGGAGCAGCCCGGAGUCUGAAUCAGCUUGUGUGUUAGUGGAACGGUCUGGAAAGUCCGACGGUACAGGGUGAUAGUCCCGUACACGAAAAUGCACAUGCUGUGAACUCGAAGAGUAGGGCGGGACACGUGGUAUCCUGUCUGAAUAUGGGGGGACCAUCCUCCAAGGCUAAAUACUCCUGACUGACCGAUAGUGAACCAGUACCGUGAGGGAAAGGCGAAAAGAACCCCGGCGAGGGGAGUGAAAAAGAACCUGAAACCGUGUACGUACAAGCAGUGGGAGCCUCUUUAUGGGGUGACUGCGUACCUUUUGUAUAAUGGGUCAGCGACUUAUAUUCUGUAGCAAGGUUAACCGUAUAGGGGAGCCGAAGGGAAACCGAGUCUUAACUGGGCGUUAAGUUGCAGGGUAUAGACCCGAAACCCGGUGAUCUAGCCAUGGGCAGGUUGAAGGUUGGGUAACACUAACUGGAGGACCGAACCGACUAAUGUUGAAAAAUUAGCGGAUGACCUGUGGCUGGGGGUGAAAGGCCAAUCAAACCGGGAGAUAGCUGGUUCUCCCCGAAAGCUAUUUAGGUAGCGCCUCGUGAAUUCAUCUUCGGGGGUAGAGCACUGUUUCGGCUAGGGGGCCAUCCCGGCUUACCAACCCGAUGCAAACUACGAAUACCGAAGAAUGUUAUCACGGGAGACACACGGCGGGUGCUAACGUCCGUCGUGAAGAGGGAAACAACCCAGACCGCCAGCUAAGGUCCCAAAGUCAUGGUUAAGUGGGAAACGAUGUGGGAAGGCACAGACAGCCAGGAUGUUGGCUUAGAAGCAGCCAUCAUUUAAAGAAAGCGUAAUAGCUCACUGGUCGAGUCGGCCUGCGCGGAAGAUGUAACGGGGCUAAACCAUGCACCGAAGCUGCGGCAGCGACACUAUGUGUUGUUGGGUAGGGGAGCGUUCUGUAAGCCGUUGAAGGUGUGCUGUGAGGCAUGCUGGAGGUAUCAGAAGUGCGAAUGCUGACAUAAGUAACGAUAAAGCGGGUGAAAAGCCCGCUCGCCGGAAGACCAAGGGUUCCUGUCCAACGUUAAUCGGGGCAGGGUGAGUCGACCCCUAAGGCGAGGCCGAAAGGCGUAGUCGAUGGGAAACAGGUUAAUAUUCCUGUACUUGGUGUUACUGCGAAGGGGGGACGGAGAAGGCUAUGUCAGCCGGGCGACGGUUGUCCCGGUUUAAGCAUGUAGGCGGAGGUUCCAGGUAAAUCCGGUACCUUGUUAACGCUGAGGUGUGAUGACGAGGCACUACGGUGCUGAAGUGAUAAAUGCCCUGCUUCCAGGAAAAGCCUCUAAGCAUCAGGUAACACGAAAUCGUACCCCAAACCGACACAGGUGGUCAGGUAGAGAAUACCAAGGCGCUUGAGAGAACUCGGGUGAAGGAACUAGGCAAAAUGGUGCCGUAACUUCGGGAGAAGGCACGCUGAUAUGUAGGUGAAGCCCCUGCGGGCGGAGCUGAAAUCAGUCGAAGAUACCAGCUGGCUGCAACUGUUUAUUAAAAACACAGCACUGUGCAAACACGAAAGUGGACGUAUACGGUGUGACGCCUGCCCGGUGCCGGAAGGUUAAUUGAUGGGGUCAGCGGCAACGCGAAGCUCUUGAUCGAAGCCCCGGUAAACGGCGGCCGUAACUAUAACGGUCCUAAGGUAGCGAAAUUCCUUGUCGGGUAAGUUCCGACCUGCACGAAUGGCGUAAUGAUGGCCAGGCUGUCUCCACCCGAGACUCAGUGAAAUUGAACUCGCUGUGAAGAUGCAGUGUACCCGCGGCAAGACGGAAAGACCCCGUGAACCUUUACUAUAGCUUGACACUGAACACUGGUCCUUGAUGUGUAGGAUAGGUGGGAGGCUUUGAAGCGUGGACGCCAGUCUGCGUGGAGCCAACCUUGAAAUACCACCCUUUAAUGGCUGGUGUUCUAACGUAGACCCGUAAUCCGGGUUGCGGACAGUGUCUGGUGGGUAGUUUGACUGGGGCGGUCUCCUCCCAAAGAGUAACGGAGGAGCACGAAGGUUGGCUAAUCCUGGUCGGACAUCAGGAGGUUAGUGCAAUGGCAUAAGCCAGCUUGACUGCGAGCGUGACGGCGCGAGCAGGUGCGAAAGCAGGUCAUAGUGAUCCGGUGGUUCUGAAUGGAAGGGCCAUCGCUCAACGGAUAAAAGGUACUCCGGGGAUAACAGGCUGAUACCGCCCAAGAGUUCAUAUCGACGGCGGUGUUUGGCACCUCGAUGUCGGCUCAUCACAUCCUGGGGCUGAAGUAGGUCCCAAGGGUAUGGCUGUUCGCCAUUUAAAGUGGUACGCGAGCUGGGUUUAGAACGUCGUGAGACAGUUCGGUCCCUAUCUGCCGUGGGCGCUGGAGAAUUGAGGGGGGCUGCUCCUAGUACGAGAGGACCGGAGUGGACGCAUCACUGGUGUUCGGGUUGUCAUGCCAAUGGCACUGCCCGGUAGCUAAAUGCGGAAGAGAUAAGUGCUGAAAGCAUCUAAGCACGAAACUUGCCCCGAGAUGAGUUCUCCCUGAGACUUUAAGUCUCCUGAAGGAACGUUGAAGACGACGACGUUGAUAGGUCGGGUGUGUAAGCGCAGCGAUGCGUUGAGCUAACCGAUACUAAUGAACCGUGAGGCUUAACCUU
rnacentral:rRNA from 1 species